rnacentral:rRNA from 1 species
CAAGUACCGUGAGGGAAAGAUGACAAGCACUUUGAAAAGAGGGUGAAAAGAACCUGAAACCGUCAUGGGGGAAGCGGAUUGCGUUGAGUAAAAGGGAUGUUGUGUGUUCAGCCUUUGAGGUGCAUUGGCGCAACAACCCGAUCUGUCGUGGGUUCUGCGCGGUUGAUUUUGAACCGUGCAGGGCUGAGGGCUCCCUUUUAUAGGUGAGGACGAUUAGAUAGUGACGCGAUACGACCCGUCUUGAAACACGGACCAAGGAGUCUAGCGCUACUGCGAGUCAAAGGGUGCAAGCCUGAGGGCGCAGUGAAAGCGAGUUUGAAAACGAGCAGUUUGGGGCGGCAUGAGAUUGUUAAUUUCAAGUCCGACCUUGAGCAGUUGCGCUGGGACCCGAAAGAUGGUGAACUAUGCCGGAGUAGGGCAAAGCCAGAGGAAACUCUGGUGGAGGCUCGUAGCGGUGCUGACGUGCAAAUCGCUCGUCUGACUUGGGUAUAGGGGCGAAAGACUAAUCGAACCAUCUAGUAGCUGGUUCCCUCCGAAGUUUCUCUCAGGAUAGCGGGCCGACGGGUGUUGUUUUGUGUGGUAAAGCGAAUGAUUAGCGCACUCGGGGGCAAUAUGCCUUUGGGCGAUUCUCAAACUUUCAAUACGCAAGGGUGCCGCUGCUUGGUUGAGCGGCACCGGCAAAAACGUCGGCCCUGUGGGCCACUUUUGGUAAGCAGAACUGGCGAUACGGGAUGAACC